CACCCUCAAGAUCUAAAUGUGGCUCUGUAACACUACAAGCAAUUCCUCUCUUCCCUCUUUAUUCCCUCUAUGAGUGACUUGUUGAGUCCCUAAUAAACAAGAAGACAAUCAGAAACUAUACAUGAAUGCGAGUUUUGUGAAAGAGAGUGAUU